GUAGCAAGCUGCCAGUGAAAUGUCGACUAAGCCCAACAAUAGCUGUAACUCUGAUGUUAGGACAAGAGGCAGGUUUUUCACUAUGCUAUGAAAAAGGUGGGCGCCGAUGGACCUUCAGCGGAACAUUAACAUUAUUGUAAUUGCAUUUGUGUUCUUCUGUGAAGUUUACUUCAGCAAUGCUGCAUUCUACAGUGUCUUGAAAGGAUCAGACGUGACUCUCCAUUGUUUAUCUGCCAAACUGCCACUGCUGCUGGACUGGAGCACUCUCACUGUGGAGUGGACCAGAGCGGAUGCACAAGGAAAGAAACAAACAGUGUACAUUUUUGUAAAUGGCCGCGCUCUCGUGAACAGAGACGGUGCUGAUGUGGACAGGGCAGGGCUGCUAAACAGAGAUGCCUCCCUGAAGCUCCCCAACGUCACUGUGGGCGACGAGGGACACUACACCUGCAGGGUCAUUACACCUGUUGUGGACACACUCACUGCCACUCUGGAGGUUUUAGCCCGUCCUUCAGUGUGGAUCCCGAAGGAGGCAGCCAUUGCUCAGGGAGAGGAGAAGAUGAUCGUGUGUGAUAUUCAAGGCUACUAUCCCAAAACGUUGACUGUCAGCUGGCUCCUGCACAACAACUCGCACACUCCUCCCUCUAGGACCAGCAAUCUUUAUCGGGUUUGCACUGAAAUGGAAGAGCCCCAUGCAGAUGGCACCUACAGUAUUCGCAGUGUCAUCACAGUGCACUCCUCUGUGCUAAAGGAUGGUCAAGUCCAACUGGUCUGUCAAGUGAAGCAUCAGACCUUUCAUGGUCUUUUGAACACCUCUGUUACUUUAUCUCAAGCUCCUUCAAAGCACUACGAUCCUGUGAUCUUGAUAGCUGGUACCAGUGUGAUCUGUGUUCUGGUUCUGACUGCAGUUGUGCCAGUGUUAAUCUGGUUUUCCAAGAGAAAGGCAUUGCGGCAUGUUCCACCAAACAUUUCUGAAAUCAGCCAAAACAACAUCACAUAUGCAGAUGUUGAAAAUUUCCUCAAAUGCGUGAUCAGUGGUGUGGGACUGGGAGAGUUCCAAGUCCAGUGGUUUAAGCUGAGUAGAGACAGUGAAGACUGUGAGGCAGUCGCCCUGCUGUCCUGGGAUGACGUGACUGAGGGAGUCAGUCUAGAGUCAGACGGCAGUCAUCACACAUCUGUCCUAAGCCUCCGUCUGUCCACAAGUGAGGACAAGAGCAGGUACAGGUGUGUGGUCCGCUGCAAGAGCCAGACUUUCACCCGAGAGACGACGGUCCAUGUUAAAGUGCAACCCUCUUUUCUUCAGAUCUCUAGCAUCCCGCAGAUCCCCAAAGUCCAGCGCCUUCUGGUCUUGUGCUGUCGUGUAGAAAACUUUUAUCCUGCUGUCAUUUACCUGGAGUGGUACCGGAAUGACGGGGAGGCAGUGCACCCUGCAACUCACUAUGGGCCUUUCUCAGACCACAGCCACUUAUACAGCAUGUGGAGUAAGAUGCAACUCACCAUGGCAACAGAGGAUGAGAGCGCUGUGUACAUCUGUAGAGUCUAUCACUCCAGCUUUUCUCCUCCAGGAUACAAGGAUGCUCUUUACCACAUCAACACUCAGGGAACUCCACCCAAUGUGAUGUUCAUCAACUGUGAGCCUCUGUGCCCUGUACUGAACACAGAGUGCACACUAAACCUGUGCAUCAAAGACUUCUGUCCCAAACGCAUAUCAGUCACAUGGACAGUGGACGGGGAACCAGUGGACAGCAGCUGUGUAUUCAACACCCCUCCUAGUCUUAAUGUGAAUGGACUAUAUGCCAUGUACAGCUUCCUCAAACUCCACCCCACACAGACUAAGCGGAACCAAUGUUACCGCUGCAAAGUGGAGCACAGCGCCCAGAGCCAGCCGGAGGAGCGCUUCUUCACCCUCACAUAUGACCAAGACACACCACCUCUUUACUGAGCAUCAUCUCAUCCUAUUUAGCUGAUCAGAUCUUGUCACACUCUACUAUCAACAAGAUGUAUCUAGGAGACUGGGGCAGAACAUGAUUCUGAUUGUAAAUUUCACAAACAUGAGAUAUAUGUGUCCCCAGACACCAGGUAAACAUCCUUAGACCAAACAAAGCAUUUGUACAACUGUAGUGCUGAUUUAUUCUUAUUACAGAUAUUACAGAAACAUGCAACAUGAUGGCUAAGUUAUGUAUGCUAUAAUUUGGUGUUUCAAAACUAUUAUUAUUCAGUAAGAAAGCAGAAUGAGCCUCAAAUGACUCUCAUUUGGAUUGCCAGUUUCAGGACUGAAUUCCAGUUUAUUUGAGCCUAAAAUGUCUCUCUCUGAUCUAAAUCCUCACUACCUAAACCCCAGCAGCUGUAGCCAAUCAUUAAUCAGCGUUAGUGCAGCUUCUGCAGAUAGUGAGUGAAUUCUGGAGGUUCUGAGCUUUUACACGAGGCGUGUCUUGUUUAUAUACUGAAAAUGAGAGAAACUUUUGGGUCCUCUAGAUGCAGAUUAAGGUACUGGCAACUCAGUUUCAGUUGUGAUUGUUGUACCUUUUUAAACUAGACAGAGCGCAGGCCACAUGUAGUUCCUUUAAGGUAUCCAGUAUUAAAAUGAAGGGAAAAAAUCAAAUCAAUGAAAAGUCCCCAAGUAAAGGCACAAAAACUGGUGUAAAAAUUCACUAGUAAUUUAUUGAGCGCAACACUGUUUGCUCCCAAUGCUUCUACAUAUUAUAUUAGACAGCAUUUAAAAUGAGUUAUGCUCAAAGGUAAAA